rnacentral:rRNA from 1 species
GUCGUGAGAUGUUGGGUUAAGUCCCGCAACGAGCGCAACCCUUGAUCUUAGUUGCCAUCAUUAAGUUGGGCACUCUAAGGUGACUGCCGGUGACAAACCGGAGGAAGGUGGGGAUGACGUCAAAUCAUCAUGCCCCUUAUGACCUGGGCUACACACGUGCUACAAUGGACGGUACAAAGAGCUGCAAGACCGCGAGGUGGAGCUAAUCUCAUAAAACCGUUCUCAGUUCGGAUUGUAGGCUGCAACUCGCCUACAUGAAGCUGGAAUCGCUAGUAAUCGCGGAUCAGCAUGCCGCGGUGAAUACGUUCCCGGGCCUUGUACACACCGCCCGUCACACCACGAGAGUUUGUAACACCCGAAGUCGGUUGGGGUAACCUUUCUGGAGCCAGCCGCCUAGUUGAGUUACUGG